ACUCAGGAGAGUCUCUUUUCCGGAUGGCUGCGUCCCGGUAAUCACAGGACCGGCAAAACAGGAAAAGAGCGCCGAAGGUGUAAGCGUUCAUCUGCCGCUUCUUUGUCCUGAAAGGGCGGCGGAUGCGUGAGUCUCUCAGGCAAAAGGAUGGAGGUAUAA
rnacentral:ncRNA from 1 species